UAAGGAAUAUUGCUCAAUGGGAGAAAUCCUGAAGCAGCAACGCCGCGUGGAGGAUGAAGGGUCUAUGACUUGUAAACUCCUGUAAAGAAGGAAAAAAUUCCCAUUAGAUGGGAGAUGAUGGUACUUCUGGAGUAAGCCCCGGCUAACUACGUGCCAGCAGCCGCGGUAAUACGUAGGGGGCAAGCGUUGUCCGGAUUUACUGGGUGUAAAGGGUGCUCAGGCGGAUCUGUAAGUCAGAGGUGAAAUCUUACAGCUUAACUGUGAAACUGCCUUUGAUACUGCAAGCCUAGAGUAUGGAAGAGAGUGAUGGAAUAUCUGGUGUAGCAGUGAAAUGCGUAGAUAUCAGAUAGAACACCAAGGGCGAAGGCAGUCACUUGGUCCAUUACUGACGCUAAAGCACGAAAGCGUGGGUAGCAAACA
rnacentral:rRNA from 1 species